rnacentral:rRNA from 1 species
UACGAAGGGGGCUAGCGUUGCUCGGAAUCACUGGGCGUAAAGGGCGCGUAGGCGGUCGUGACAAGUCACUUGUGAAAUCUCCGGGCUUAACUCGGAACGGUCAAGUGAUACUGUCGGACUAGAGUACAGAAGGGGCAACUGGAAUUCUCGGUGUAGCGGUGAAAUGCGUAGAUAUCGAGAGGAACACCUGCGGCGAAGGCGGGUUGCUGGGCUGAUACUGACGCUGAGGAGCGAAAGCGUGGGGAGCAAACAGG